UAAACAGAUGAACGUCACGUGAUGUUGGCCAAUGGCGACUUGCAAGUUUUGUCUGCGCAUCAAGGCGACGAGAAUUAUUUGUAUCAUUGUCGAGUUCUCGUCCAGCCCAUCAGGCAAACAAUGACCAGUUUCACUGCUGGACGAAUCAUCCUCAGUCAAGAAUCCAGGACAAAGAUGGCACAAGUCAUUUUAGAAACUGUGAAUCGAAUUCGAAGUUUGGCGUGGACGAGAUGCCGUUUUACCUUGUGUUUUUCACGGAUAUCUUCCGCAUAAAAUCAAAUGGUACAAAAGUCAAACGAUUCAGUAUGGCAAUUUGUUUUUGCCACUGGUGACAUCAGCUGCCACACAAGAGCAUCGUGAUGGAGUGCUGGGACUUGGGCGUCAUCGCCUCAUUGGUGGCACUUUACUCAUCGCUUCCGUCGUCACCGAAGAUCAGGGCAGUUACAUUUGUUUUGUCAACAGUUCCAUUGGAUUAGUCGAAUCACGUACCGAACUCGUUUCUCGUGUCAAAUUACAAGUCAGAAACGUCGAACGUCGUCAUCGCCGCAUAGAAUGCACAGCACAUUUAAGUCGCCGAUCCAGAAACGUCCGUCACCAUCACGUGUCAUUUCUCCGGCCGGUUGUCAGUUGGCUCAAAGAUGGCCAGCGCUUCUUGGUGGGUAAUAGUGGUCGUGUUUCUUCUUCAUCCGGCGACGACGGUUACACCGAUAUGGUCCAGUUAUCCAUUUCGUCCGUCCAACGUGAAGAUGAGGGAAUAUACCAAUGCCUGACAUCCAAUGACGAAGGAGAUUGGGCCCAAGCAUCGGCCCAGCUGGCCAUUGGAGCAUUUCCUCCUCAUUUGAAAGAAACGUUCAGUCGGCAAGUUGUACAUCCGGGAAGUUCAGUCUCGUUGAAAUGUUUGGCCUCUGGCACUCCGCUGCCUCAUUUCACUUGGACGCUGGACGGGUUUCCGUUAUCGCCCGUUUCCGAACGAUAUUUCCUCGGCCAGCAGCAACAAACGGGUCACGACGAUCUUGUAGUGGCUCAUCUCAACAUAACCCACGUCCGAGUCGAAGACGGAGGCAAUUACAAAUGUGUAGCGGAGAAUCGAGUGGGUCGCGUAGAGCAUUCAGCCAAUUUGCAUAUUUACUUCAAUUCAAUGGCAGUUUGACGAUCGAUCCGUUGGAUAAGAGCAGCGACGCCGGUCUUUAUAGUUGCGAGGUGCGUGGCCAGAACGGACUCUCGGCUCGCCAGUCACUUCAACUCAACAUCCUCGCUUUGCGAAAAUAUUGACUCGGCGCCUUUUUCUUUUCCCCCUCCGCCCUGUAAACUUGCUCGGUCGCUGUGUAUACUCUUUGAUGAUGAGAAAGUUAACAGCGCUUUUCUAUCCGGUCUGGAAGCAGAAAAAAAUUUUAAAAAAAAGGAAGCAAUGAAAGCAAAUGAGACAGACCGACUAUAUCGAUCCAGCAGCCAGAAGCCAAUUUAAGUCUUUCCCAUUUAUUUUUGUGAAAAACAAGAAAAAGGAGAUGAGUUAAGUGGGUAGGAAGGAUAAAUUUAGAAAUUUCUCGACGUUUUUUUUUUGUUGUUGCUUCCGGUCGCCGGAAUUCCGUUUAAAAAAAAAAAAAACACGAAAAUAAAACGAUAUUGGAUACAGACGCGCCUCAUAUAAUGGCAAUGAGCGAUUCGGCCGUGUUGAAUUCCGGCGAACGAUUGGCUCUUCAAUGCGCCGUAGUUAAAGGUGGAUUGCCGUUGUCCGUCAGCUGGUCGAAAGAUGGCCAAGUGAUCGCACCGACAACUGCAACAACGACGACUAGCGUCCGUUUGGUGAACGAAUUCACAGCCACGUUGACGAUUGAAUCGUUGACUGGACAACAUGGUGGAUGGUACGUCUGCCGCAAAUAUAUAAUUUCAGUUACAAUAGUGCAAUAGAAAAAAAAGUUAUGGAAAUAUUUAUCAGGCUUUAGAGCAGCAUUAGCCUUUGCUAUAUCUCCACAUCAUGUAAAUGGAAAAUCUCUGGAACUUCUUGUUGAGAAAUGAAGCCAUUGUGCAUAUUGCAUCAACCAAGGGCGAAAUGUUACCACAUAUAGGCCAAUGUUACAACGGACACAUGAAGUCUGUAUGUUGGUACAGUUUAUCAACAGGCAUAAGAGCAUGUUCGGGCAAUAAUUGUGGGAUAGUUUAGGUAGAUUCUUUGCUGCGUCAUAGCUCGGGAGUCGUAACGGGCAAUAUCCUUGUGCAUUAAGUUGGUGAACUCUUGUGUUCCAUUGGGGAAAUAUUUCAAAUUGAUUAAUUUGCAUGUUACGGAGUUGUUUUUUUCUGAUCUGUGGAGCCUGACAUUUUCCACAAUUUCUAUCGGCGGACAAAAUGUCUUUUAGGAUUGGUAGCAGCUUACGAAGCAGUAGGUUCCAACAUCAUCUAACGUCUGCUUUAGUAAUGGCAGGGAUGUGAAUGAUAAUUUGUGAAAUCAAACAACUUCAGCAGGUGCCUAGCUCAACAACUCCUAUGAAAUCUAGAUUGGUGGUGGUAGUUAUAGGGCGCCUGUUCAGGCAACAGUUUCGUUUUUUAAUCCGCCAAGGAUUUAUGCGUUAUUGCGUCUACUGUGUAGCCUGAGUAGCAUACGCAAGGGGGCGUUUAUCUACAUUCCUGAUCACCAAGCAGUUACAAAUAUGUUCUACACUGAUAAGCAUCCGAGGCAAAGGGCGAGCUGAACUAGUCUAUUGCCCCUCAACUCCAGAGGGCACUAGUUUACAGCAACUCGGGCUCACCCUUUGGGUAAUUUGAGAUACUUUUCUGGACGGUUCAGAAUCUUAUUAUUGGCCAAAAUUUGAUACGAGAUUAAUUGAUACUUAGUCCUGUCAGACCUCAAAUUCUAAGAGAGUGGAUUCUCAUUUCUUCUUCAUACCAGCGAGCAGAUUUGAGGUUUAAAAUUGUUUUAGGUUGUUAAGCAAGUCUGACUUUCUACGAUGUACAUGGCCGCCAAACUUUGUCGUUAUGUCUCACUGUUAAUCGGUAAGAAAAACGUCGAAUUAUUGACGAUACGUUUGUCAAAAUGGCAAAUACAACGCCUAACGAUUUAAAUCUAACUUGGGAUAAUCUACUUCUCGGACAAGGUACUUUGAGACCGGAUCUAAUUGAGUCCGCUUUCCAUAUGGCUUCUUCGCGCACGGUUGCCAUGAAGACUCGUCAUAACGAUUCCGAAAUGGUUCGUCAAUUUCGCAUUCACGGCCGUGUAGUAGAACCUAUUAAAGACUUCCUUAAAGAUGAAGUAAGAGCCUUAGGUCGUGAGCUGGGUUCCUGCACAAUUACUGGAACGUUACCCGUUUCCUGGUCCCGGUUUGUCAAUUUGAAUCAUUUACGCCGAAGAGCCGUUCUUGGAAGCUAAUUUCGAUGAGACGCAAGUGCUGAUUCGUUCGAUGGUCUAUUAUGCCAACAUAGCAGCCAAGGAACAUGCCUUGCUCAAUCGGAUUGAAAUCGUGACGUCGGAAGAAGAACGUCUUCUUCUGGAAGAACUGUCUAGUCGCAACCUAUGUUGCCACGCUACUGCCUAUUCGCACUGUCGGUGUUCAGGUACAGGAGGUUGCAGAAAAAUGUGUCGGGUAUGGCAAACAAAGCAUAGGGAAAACCGCCACAUUUUUCUGCAAUAUAUUGUACAACAGAUUCGCAAUUUAGACGUUGUCGUAAUAAUGCCGCGAUCGUAAUCAACUCUUAUUCAAGGUAUUAGAUGAUAGGUGCCACCGUAUCUACGCCAAGGUUUUUUUUUCUCUUGUCUAGAUCUUUUAAUGGCCAGUGGGUCCUUGUGAUCAUGGCCAAUGGCUUGAGCCGGAUACCAACGACUAUGGCACCUGUCGCCCUUCGCCUUGCCCAGUAAGCAAAUGCAACGGUCGCCAGAUCUACUGGAAGUCAACACUAAAUUCUGAAGGUGGCUGUUAUAAAUCGUUCACACGUGGGCCUUGCAGGCGAAGUAGCUAUUUCCUCGUUGAAGAAUAUGGCCCUCGAAGAGGUCGAUGUGUUUCUCAAUUUGGAUCAUCCUAUGAAUCCUAUGUCCUUCCGUCACGCUAUCCCAGGAUGAGAAACCCUUACGACAUGAUGUACAACAACGCGAUGAGCCCGUGAUCGAAAUUUGGCAUGUAUCCGCCGUUUGGCAUGCAGGAAGAAUAGCGGAGACGACUAUCCUGACAUUCCCAGUUUCGAUUACUGAACUAGAAACAGUUUUACAGAACCAUUCACAUGGUUUUGUCUCUAUUAUUUCAUUAAAAAAAUGUGAUUGCAAAUUUUCUAUUGUGACGUAUGGCGGAUAAAAAACAACCUUGAUUAGUUUUAAUGCAUGAAUUCGUUAGCCAAUAAUAUGUGUAUGAAGAAAAUGUUUUCACUUUGAAACAGAGUCAUGGAACCCAUCGGUUUCCAUGACUCUGCUUUGAAAGUUUGAACAGGGAUUUCUGUUUUACCUUUCUGCGAUGCGGCAACACAGCAUUGCAUGUCGAUCUGCGAACGUUUGACAACUCGCUGGUAUUGCAACAGGUUAAUAGUUUUGUGUCAAGUAAAUUUCAAGUGCGAGUAACUGCUGGAAGAUUGCAAGCGAAAUCUGUAUGUGUCGUGUCAUUGUUCUAAGUGUUGGAGACUUUUUUCGUUUUGAUUAGGCAUUCAUGUUUGGGAACAAUACCUUAAGUUGGAUAUCGCCUAGUGAUAUUUACAUAUUAAGUCCUAUUUUAAGACACUUGGGGCGAUACGUUUCGCAACAAAGAUCUAUACAGUACUCAAAAGAUGACCCACAAGCACUACGCCAUCACGAUUGAGACAAGGUAAAACAAAACUAUAAAGCGCCAUUUAUCAAUAAUGAAUGAAUGUCCUCAUUCUAACAAUAAUUUAAGAAAAUGUAAAUGUAUACUUAGAUGUGGUAAUUAUUUCGUUUACAUCGACUACACUUCAAUAAUUUACAAGUGGGAAAGUGUUGCCUAUAAGCAACAAGAAGGUAUUGUGCAUGUUUAUGAGCGAAUCAUGGCUUAAUGGGUGAGCAUCGGAUUGUACCGCUGGAUGUUUGUGGAUCAAAUACCAUCAAAGUUUUCUUCACCAUGACCUACUUGGAAUUUAUAUGCCAAUACGUGUAAUCCAUCAAGGACACUGAAUUUCACAACACCUGAAUGGGAUUCGAACCUAAUAUCUAGAGAGUUCCAGUCCAUCGCUCUACCAUUGAGCUAUGCGACAUAUUACUGAGAAAUCUAAGUCUUCAACACAUUAAGGUAACUGUGCAAAGUUGUACAUAGGGGAUCAAAUAUCAAUGGGGGGGGAUAUAGGGGGGGUUGCCAGGAAGGUAUCGCAUCCGCCUAGCAGCUCCAAGGUCCGUGGUUCGAUUCCACGGAGGUUCCCGAUGUCCUGGGCUUCCAAUCUUCCACGUCUGCCAGUCGGGUCGAGAAACUUCCCCAUUACGAAGUAAUGGGACGGAUAUUUUGGCAAUGUUUAAUAUAAUAUCCAAUAAAAAAUCUUAAUAAAUUGUUCAUUAUGAUUUAUCGGUGUGAAUGCGUAUUUUGUUACUUGAAUACUUUACAACGUACUUUAGCCAUUGGCAUCCUCUGUCGAGAUAUCUCACACAUUCUGCUUGAUCAAUAUUUUGUGUAUAUAAGAUUGUAACAUAUAGUCACUCAACUGAAUCUUUUAAUCAUCGUAGUAUUUCUUUCGACUCUUGUAGGAUUUGAACCCUUAAACUUUGGCGUUCCAUGCCGAUGCUCUAACACUGAGCCAUAAUUCACGUUAGUAAGAUUUCUAUAUUUUCGUGUUAAUUGAGUUCAACAAAUGUGGACUUAGAAUAAUAUUUGCAGCGAGAUUCAAGAUAACUUCUUAUUAACAUGUAAAUCCAUCUUAUAGAAACGCAAUGACAUUCACAUUAAAUUUAUUAACCUUCUGCCGGGAGUUGAACCCGAUACCUUUAGAUUCAUUAUCCAACGUUCUACCAAACAGCUAUGAUCCUUGAAUGUAAGUUAUUCAGGUUAGCAUAUAGUUUUGCUAGCCUAUAAAAAUUGCAUUUUUUUUUUUGCCUUCUAAUAUUAGUGCAAAUUUAAAUGUAACUCAUGGCUCAACGGUUGAGCAUCGGCAAUGAACGCUGAAAGUUUGGGGAUCGAUACCCGAACGAGUUAAAUUCAUCACUGUAAAAACAUUCCAAUAUAUCUCUUAAAUCUAUAUAAAAAAAGAUUGAAUACAAAAUCAUUCUGUAAUUAAAUAAAUCAGCAAACUAUCAUCUCCAGGAUUGGAAUUUAAUCGGUGAUAAUUCAAAGACACUCCGGAAUUCUCAGUACAAGAACUGCACAUCAGUGUCCAUCUCAGCAAUGUUGAGAGUCCAAUCCUUAAAA